AGCUCGGCCAGAGUCCAGUUCAACACAACCUGAGUUAGAGUGGCGCUCCUGAUCUCAGACAGGGGCUUCUGUGGAGGGGGAAGACAAACGGGGUUAGAGAGAGAGAUAGGUUUAUCUGUGGAGGUGGAAGACAGGCGGGGUUAGAGAGAGAGACAGGUUUAUCUGUGGAGGGAGAAGACAGACGGGGUUAGAGAGAGAGACAGGUUUAUCUGUGGAGGGGCAGAGAGACAGGUUUAUCUGUGGAGGGGGAAGACAGACGGGGUUAGAGAGAGAGACAGGUUUAUCUGUGGAGGGGGAAGACAGACAGGGUUAGAGAGAGA
ensembl:lncRNA